UUAUUUUUUUAUUAUUAGCUAUUGUAGUGUCACCCCGCACUCACAACCUCUCACCGCCCAGAGUAUUCACUCCGGUGGAGAUCGCCUCCCCGUAUCUCAUAAGCCUUUGCAUUCGUAUAUACGUGUACGUAUAAUAUAGGACGCGUUUACACGACACGGUCUGUUGGACGGCGACCGCGUAAUGACUAGGUACCUACGAGUUAUAUUAUAUCUGCAGAGCCGAUGGUUUUCUCCGUGUCGCGUGCGAUAUUCAUCUCGGGUCAAAAACGACGUAAAACGGCAGAAAGAGAAGCCGACACGCGGUCGUAAUAAAAUACAGCAUCGGCGGUGGUUAAAAAGACGUCGCGUUCAGACCUGGGAAAAGACCUCUCACGUAAUUGAUCCCAUCUCGCCGCUGAUGGACGUCCGCGAUAACCGACCGCGGCGCGAGCGAACUAGUGCUGCGAUUUGCACGACGACGCUGAAUUUUGCAGACCACAAGUCGACAGCACUCAUGAAGGCGUUCCACUACUAUACGACCUUAAUAACGAUAUUAUCUGCUAUGAUGAUAGGUUUACAACAGGUGCACGAUGACCGGCGAAAAGCUUUCAAUUUUCGUAAUUAGGAAAUUAAUACUGUUGUCACUACAGCCGAUUUAUAAGUAUAUAAGUUCACACCGACGCACCACUUAUAUGUUUUACGAACGAACUAUUCCAAAAAUCGGUAUUAGUACAUAAUUUUCAAGAACAGUGGCGCCGUCGGUUUCAAACUUAAGAAAAAAAAAAGGUUCCAAUAACUGGGAUUCCAGAUGACAAGAACUUUUGAAUAAUUUUUCGGUUUGUCACUAGACAAAAAAAAAAAAAAUUGGUAAACAAAUUAUUUCAAAUAAAUCUCAAUAAUAUUAUAAUAUAUAUUUUAAA